CAGCAUCAUUAAUGGCCACAACACCACAGUGUAGCUAGAAAACUGUUUUUUUUUUUAUAUUUUACUGAAGAAAAGACCAAAGUGUUUUGACAAAUAUCAAGACAGGAAAAGAAGCAUCGGCUGAACAUGGAUUACAACUGUGAAAUGCAAGGUUUAUGACAUGCAAGCCUUCUGAGAAAAGCCACUUUGAAAGCUUCUUGGGUCACGGAUUUGCCUAUAUUAUGGGGCCAAAUCACAACCCUGGGUACAGAGGUGUCUCUUCCUCAUUAAAACAAAGACAAUGUAAAAGAUGCUCUCCAUAAUAGAGUUAUAAUGUCACUUCAGUAUCUUUUAAUUACCCAUCUACACAAAAGAUCUUAGAUCAAGCACAGGCUAAGUCAUAGUAACAUUUACAUCGAGUGUAAGGUUUAAAAAAAUAAUACAAAGUCCAUUCACAGUGCACAUGAAGACAUGGUUAAGUUUUAAAUAUUUAGAUAACAAAUAGCCAUGAUUGUUUAGAAGGUAAGCAUAUUUUUCAAGCACAUUUCCAUUUGUUACAGCAUGUGACAGUCUACCAUAUGCCAGUGUAGAGGGUGGAGAUACGCCAGCACCAUCAUCUCAUUUACUGGAAAAAAACCGAUACCAUAUUUCUUUUAUCAGAUAAAUACAUCUGAAAUAAAUAAAUACAAAACCAACUAGAAAUUUGCCUGUUAAGCCUGCACUCUUAAUUGUAUUAUUUUUGUUUUUGAGACAGGGCCUUCCUGUGUAGCGACUGCCUUUAACUCCUUAUAGUCCAGCUUCUGUCACCUGAGGACUGGGGUGACUGUAGUGUGCCACCAGGAGCCUACAUGUGACAUUCCAAAAUUGCAGUUAGGAAGCCCCACUCGCUGUGCUCCUAUGCACUUGCACACUGCUCAUUUCCAUUUGGAGACCAGGCAACCUGUGGGAGUGCACUGAGUACGGCCUGGAAAGUGGGGCUCAGAUGAGACUAGGAGUAAGACCCGGAAAGGCUGGCCGCUCCACCUGGUACUGCAGCCUGGCUGCUGUGCGGGUAAAGCUUGCUUCCUCCGGCUCAUGUUGUACAGACUGGGGCUUUAUAAUAGAUAGCCCGACCAGUUCAUUUUGCUUACCAUCUCCUUAAAAUCCCCUAGUUCUCCAAACAGAAUUUCGUUCACUCCAUUCUUUGCAAAUUUGGACGUGAGAAAUAAAUGAUUUCUUGUGCAGUUAGACUUAAACUUCUGUAUAUUAAGUUCCAGAACUACAGACAUGAUAGACAGACAGGGUCAACUGCUGGACUGAACUUUAUUUCCUUCCCACAGCUUCUGCAUUUAACAAAUACCUAGCUUUUAAGGGUGUGUGUGUGUGUGUGUGUGUGUGUGUGUGUGUGUGUGUGUGUGUAAAGGCAUGUUUAGCAUGAAACCAGGUUAAUAAUAACCCAUGGGGACGUGGGGAUGUGAAGAAUGACAGGGAUUUUUGGUAAUCUGCUUUUAAGUUGAAGUUACAAAUAUUGACCCCCUCAGGAAAUAAAGGUUCUCUUCCAUGAAAAAAAGUUAUACAAAGGGAUAUGAUGCCCCACAUCAGCCUUUUGCGUACGAGAAACCUGCAGCUUUCUCCUGCUGGUCUCAGCCAGGGCUCCCCUUAGCUAAUAUUCACCACGAUUCCACACCUAAAAGGGACACAAGGCACCUGAGCACUCCUGGCCUAGGAAACGAUGGACACUGUUCUUAGCUGCUGAGGUGAGGGUAGUACCUAAAUGUCUUGUCUGAUAAUUUAAAUACAAUACUUACUGAAUUUAUAGCUUCUGAAAUUUUUGCCUUCCAUACUGUCAGGAUUUCAGAGAAUCAUAAUGAUCUGUAUAUAUAUAUAUAUAUAUAUAUAUUAUAUAUAUAUAUAUUUUUUUUUUUAAAGUUAUGUGUGUGGGUAGAGAAUUGUUACUAAAAACAAUUCCAAGAAAAUUGCUUAUAAAAUUAACUGUGAACUAGAAAGUGCAAUACUGGGCAUUUUUACCAGCACAACAAAGCCUUAAUAAUAAAAAAAGUAGCAAGUGAAAGAGAUGUUUUAAGUAAAAUAUGGCAUAUUUGUUUGCUUUAAAGUCUUUUAACCAAUACAAUUUUAAAUAAAACACAUGACAAUAUUGUGAGGAUUACUACUGUAACUGAACUGCAGUGAAUUAAAUAGAAUUUUCAUAUUUAAGGGGUGGGUUACUGUUCUCCCACUUGUUAGAAUAAUUUUUAUUUAAAAUAGUGUCUGAUGGCCGUGCUGCAGCCUGACCUAGUUCAAAUGUUUGACUCUAAAUGAAAUUUGUCAGGUGAUUACCUUUAAUCUUCUCCAUCUUGGGUCAUAAUUCAAUGGGUCAACAGGAGAGACACAAUAUUUCCAGGAAGUCUGAUGUAAAGCACACAAUAUUAAAAAAGAAUCCAUUGCAAAUGGAUAUAGAGAGUGUAAAAACAGCAAUGGAUGUAAGCUGCUGCUAUUGGCUUCCAAGGCAAGUGUCUAAGCUGGUAACGGAAGGUUGAUGCUUCUGUCACUGAAUAUGCAUGGAACUGUCCAAUACAAGCUAACCUGUCUGAAACAUUAUUUGUAAACCAGCUUUCUUUCAUGUGGUGAACAUAAACUGAAUUACUACAGCCAACAGUCCAGGAUACAGAACACUGCAGACAGAUGAUGCUUAGCAGGCAACCGUUGCCAUAUAUACAAUUGACAUCUCUUAAAAAAUUACUAUAAGUUUUAUUCCAAAGCAACUACCAUUAUAAGUCUGAUGGCAUCCCUAAUGAAUUCCACUGGUGCCACCACAAAUAAGACUUGAGAGAUAACUUCCUUAUCUUUGAGGACUAAGCCUAAGGGCCAUGGCAAUCAUGUUUUCCCAAGGUCACAUCAGUACAAACACAGACUAUGGGGUCAUUUUCACAGUUCUUCUGCUCACGAGGCAGCUGGGGGCUGAAGUGCCUGUGACACACAUCAGUGACUUUUACCCUAUGACUUUAUUUUGCACUGAAAAGGUAGAACAGGAGAAAGGAGGCAGAACAAAAGACCGAAGUUCUCGUUCUUCCAAUGUAUGCAGAGGUGAUUAUGAGCAGGAUUCUGUAAAAAUAAAUCCAUUUGAGAAACUCAGAUUUGGCAAGACAAAUGAAAAGACUUAAGCAACUUUAUCACAGCAUGACUAAAAAAUUAAAGCUUAAUUGUUUGAAUCAACUAGAUUUAUUAAACUAUUUUUGCCAUAAAAUGGUAGCACAAUUUUACCAAACAAUAUGUAUAUAAACAUAUAACAGACUUCAUUUCUUUUUUCUCCAAUUUUUUCCUAACAUUUAUGUGUGUGUGUGUGUGUGUGUGUGUGUGUGUGUGUAUGUGUGUGUGUGUGUAUACUUGUGCCACAGUGUGGGUGUGAAAGCCAG
rnacentral:lncRNA from 1 species